GCCCCCUGAACCUGUCAGUUUUAUAAGCCUGCCCCAGCACUCAAGCCCUUUGUUCACAGUUAGACUAACUCCAUUCCUGUCACCUCUACUAUGGCCAUGAUCCAUUUUCAACCAUCCAAGUUUCCUGAGCAUCUGCUAUGUUCUAAGGGCUGGCUCAUGACUGACUUCAAGGAGGACCUUGUAUAUACCCAUUAACUAUCUGCAUCCUCACAGAGGCCAAGACAAGAGGACACCUGUAUGACAGUCACACAGCUGCUUGGUCAAUCAAGGAAAAGCUA
rnacentral:lncRNA from 1 species